UUAAAACUUAAAGUAAAUCAAAUUAAAACUUGAACCAAAGUUAAACUCGACUAAAACUGAAACGGCAAUUAAAUUUAAAACUCAGACUCCAAUUUAAAACUUGAAUUAGGGAUUCAAAUUUAAUUUAAGCUAACUUCCAAUCUAAAAUUAAAUUUAGACAAAAUUAAACCAAAAUCAUAAAAUCAAAUUAAAUUCAAUCUAAAUCUAAACGCAAAGUUAAAUUGUAACAUACCACAUCCCUCGUAAAUCGCGUCGAGUUCCGUCAACACGAGCGGAACGCGAAAUUGAAUGGGUUAAAGCGGACCCAAAGUGCAUUG
rnacentral:lncRNA from 1 species